rnacentral:rRNA from 1 species
GAUGAACGCUAGCGGCAGGCUUAACACAUGCAAGUCGAGGGGUAGAAGGAGCUUGCUCCUUUGAGACCGGCGCACGGGUGCGUAACGCGUAUGCAAUCUACCUUUUGCAGAGGGAUAGCCCAGAGAAAUUUGGAUUAAUACCUCAUAGUAUGUGAGGAUGGCAUCAUUUUCACAUUAAAGUCACAACGGCAAAAGAUGAGCAUGCGUCCCAUUAGCUAGUUGGUAAGGUAACGGCUUACCAAGGCUACGAUGGGUAGGGGUCCUGAGAGGGAGAUCCCCCCACACUGGUACUGAGACACGGACCAGACUCCUACGGGAGGCAGCAGUGAGGAAUAUUGGACAAUGGGCGCAAGCCUGAUCCAGCCAUGCCGCGUGCAGGAUGACGGUCCUAUGGAUUGUAAACUGCUUUUGUACAGGAAGAAACACUACUUCGUGAAGUAGCUUGACGGUACUGUAAGAAUAAGGAUCGGCUAACUCCGUG